UACGUGAGGGGCGAACGUUGUUCGGUGUCACUGGGCUUAAAGGGCGCGUAGGUGGUUGCGUAAGUAACGUGUGAAAUCCCUCGGCUUACCCGGGGAAUUGCAUGUUAUACUGCGUGACUUGAGGAUCAGAGGGGAAUGGGGAACUCCAGGUGUAGCGGUGAAAUGCGCAGAUAUCAGGAGGAACACCGGUGGCGAAGGCGGGUCUCUGGGCCGAUACUGACGCUGAGGAGCGAAAAGCGUGGGGAGCGAACAGG
rnacentral:rRNA from 1 species